UACAGAGGGGGCAAGCGUUGUUCGGAAUUACUGGGCGUAAAGCGUGCGCAGGCGGUCUGUUAAGACCGAUGUGAAAUCCCCGGGCUUAACCUGGGAACUGCAUUCGGUGACUGGCAGGCUUUGAGUGUGGCAGAGGGAGGUAGAAUUCCACGUGUAGCAGUGAAAUGCGUAGAGAUGUGGAGGAAUACCGAUGGCGAAGGCAGCCUCCUAGGGCCAACACUGACGCUCAUGCACGAAAGCGUGGGGAGCAAACAGG
rnacentral:rRNA from 1 species